CCUGUUGGUUGGCUGGUCUUAUGUCCGUGCUUUCCACUCCUGCCAACUCCUGGUCUCUACUGUCUGGACAGAUCAAACAGUGACAGUAACAACGACAUGGACAAGGUCUACUAGUUCUACCAAAAUGGAAGCUAUAGCUGGCUGGCGUCUUCUCAACCCAACAUCUACGUUUGGCUUUCCCGCCCAGCCUUAUUCUGUCUGGCUAUAGGCCAAAACAACUUUAUAAUCAACCAACGAAAGAAACACAUAUUCACAGCAUUCAGAAGGAUACACCACAGGAUUUCCACCCUUCUGUCUAAUCAAAAAGGAAGGUUUAAACUUUAACGUGAUAAAAUUAUGUUCAACAAAAGAGCAAGCUCUAAGAACAUUUCAAUGGCUCAGGGAGAGCACUGAACCGAUUCCACAUGUAUGCCCCAAAUAAUCUCUUAGCAGCAAGAAAACUAGCCAGCUCAUUGGGUAAGUAAUGGUAAGUGACCGCGGACUUUCUUCCUGCACAGGAAGAGAACAUGGGUAUCUGUUUUCACGCUAUUUAACACCAGACUAGAGGUUCCACUGUUUUAACAAAUAAAUGAAAUACCAAAUCUA